rnacentral:snoRNA from 1 species
AAACCAACACCAAUAUGAUGAGAACAUUGUUUCAAGAACCGGUAUUUUUAGGAAGAGCCGGAAGAGGUAUGGCAGGAUAUGUAUAUAAAUGCAAUCCUUGUCGUCGAUGCUUAGAAAGGUUCUGCUGAAUGGUGUUUUUGG